AGGUGAUUAAUGCCCGGUGAGAGGGUGAAAGGGACCUAUACCCCCGUCAGCUGCAGGAAAGGAAAAAAAAGACAGGUGAUUGAUGCCCGGUGAGAAGGUGAAAGUGACCUAUACCCCUGUCAGCUGCAGGAAAGGAACCAAGAGACAGGUUAUUUUAUAGGACCUACAGGCUUUGCAACCAAUGUGCUGUAAUCCAGCCUCCUUAGAAUAUAAUGGGCUGUAGUCUCUAAAUUCACUUAAUUCCUGGCACUCAAGCAAGCACAAUCAGCAUAUACUACUCAAUUCAUCUCAGCUAGGCCAAAGCCUAAAGAACCUGCAGCCACUUCAAAACGUGAGUUAUCAAGCUAUAUCUACAAAUUCCUAGUGACUACUAUUCAACUCAAGCCUACAAUUAGUAGCACAGUGGCCGGCAGAAAUCUCAAUACUACAAGUCCCAGCAAGCCUGCAAGGUAUCCUGCAUCCCGGUUGCCUCUAGGGAAACUGCAUCAUUGUAAAGACUGUUCCAUGAGAAGUUUAAGUAAAAGUUCCAGUUAUCUCAUAAUUCCUGCUGUGGAC